UACGUAGGGGGCUAGCGUUGUCCGGAAUCAUUGGGCGUAAAGCGCGUGUAGGCGGUUCGGUAAGUCCGCUGUGAAAGUCGGGGGCUCAACCCUCGAAUGCCGGUGGAUACUGUCGGACUAGAGUACGGAAGAGGCGAGUGGAAUUCCCGGUGUAGCGGUGAAAUGCGCAGAUAUCGGGAGGAACACCAAUGGCGAAGGCAGCUCGCUGGGACGUUACUGACGCUGAGACGCGAAAGCGUGGGGAGCAAACAGG
rnacentral:rRNA from 1 species